rnacentral:rRNA from 1 species
UACGGAGGGGGCAAGCGUUGUUCGGAAUUACUGGGCGUAAAGGGCUCGUAGGUGGCCAACUAAGUCAGACGUGAAAUCCCCAGGCUCAACUUGGGAACUGCGUCUGAUACUGGAUGGCUUGAAUUCGGGAGAGGGAUGCAGAAUUCCAGGUGUAGCGGUGAAAUGCGUAGAUAUCGGGAGGAACACCAAAGGCGAAAGCAGGAUCCUGGUCAGAUUCUGACACUCAUGCACGAAGGCUAGGGGAGCAAACGGG